rnacentral:rRNA from 1 species
UGAGGAAUAUUGGUCAAUGGGCGAGAGCCUGAACCAGCCAAGUAGCGUGCAGGAAGACGGCCCUAUGGGUUGUAAACUGCUUUUAUGCGGGGAUAAAGUGUGGGACGUGUCCCUUAUUGCAGGUACCGCAUGAAUAAGGACCGGCUAAUUCCGUGCCAGCAGCCGCGGUAAUACGGAAGGUCCGGGCGUUAUCCGGAUUUAUUGGGUUUAAAGGGAGCGUAGGCCGUCUUUUAAGCGUGUUGUGAAAUGCCGCGGCUCAACCGUGGCACUGCAGCGCGAACUGGAGGACUUGAGUGCGCAGGAGGUAGGCGGAA